AUUGAACGCUGGCGGCAUGCCUAACACAUGCAAGUCGAACGGCAGCACAGUAGGUAGCAAUACCUAUGGGUGGCGAGUGGCGGACGGGUGAGUAAUGCUUAGGAAUCUGCCUUAUGGUGGGGGAUAACUAACCGAAAGGUUAGCUAAUACCGCAUACGCCCUUACGGGGAAAGCGGGGGAUCGAAAGACCUCGCGCCAAUAGAUGAGCCUAAGUCCGAUUAGCUAGUUGGUAGGGUAAAGGCCUACCAAGGCGACGAUCGGUAGCUGGUCUGAGAGGACGGCCAGCCACACUGGAACUGAGACACGGUCCAGACUCCUACGGGAGGCAGCAGUGGGGAAUAUUGGACAAUGGGGGAAACCCUGAUCCAGCAAUGCCGCGUGUGUGAAGAAGGCCUGCGGGUUGUAAAGCACUUUCGGUUGGGAAGAAAAGUUUCGCGCUAAUACCGCCGAACCUUGACGUUACUGACAGAAGAAGCACCGGCUAACUCUGUGCCAGCAGCCGCGGUAA
rnacentral:rRNA from 1 species